rnacentral:piRNA from 1 species
AACUACUUAGAAACAUUUAGAGGC